UGGGGAAUAUUGCGCAAUGGGGGAAACCCUGACGCAGCGACGCCGCGUGAGUGACGAAGUCUUUCGGGAUGUAAAGCUCUGUCAAGAGGGAAGAUUAUGACGGUACCUCUAAAGGAAGCUCCGGCUAACUACGUGCCAGCAGCCGCGGUAAUACGUAGGGAGCAAGCGUUAACCGGAUUUAUUGGGCAUAAAGCGCGCGUAGGCGGUUUUAUAAGUCAGUUGUGAAAUCCUAUGGCUCAACCAUAGUUAGCUUCUGAUACUGUAGAACUAGAGAUCAGGAGAGGAAAGCGGAACUCACGGUGUAGCGGUGAAAUGCGUAGAUAUCGUGAGGAACACCAGUUGCGAAGGCGGCUUUCUGGACUGAAUCUGACGCUGAGGUGCGAAAGCAUGGGUAGCGAACGGG
rnacentral:rRNA from 1 species